rnacentral:tRNA from 1 species
AAAAUCCGUUGGUCUUUAUAGGACCGGGAGGGUUC